GACGAACGCUGGCGGCGUGCCUAAUACAUGCAAGUCGAACGCUUCUUUCCUCCCGAGUGCUUGCACUCAAUUGGAAAGAGGAGUGGCGGACGGGUGAGUAACACGUGGGUAACCUACCCAUCAGAGGGGGAUAACACUUGGAAACAGGUGCUAAUACCGCAUAACAGUUUAUGCCGCAUGGCAUAAGAGUGAAAGGCGCUUUCGGGUGUCGUUGAUGGAUGGACCCGCGGUGCAUUAGCUAGUUGGUGAGGUAACGGCUCACCAAGGCCACGAUGCAUAGCCGACCUGAGAGGGUGAUCGGCCACACUGGGACUGAGACACGGCCCAGACUCCUACGGGAGGCAGCAGUAGGGAAUCUUCGGCAAUGGACGAAAGUCUGACUGAGCAACGCCGCGUGAGUGAAGAAGGUUUUCGGAUCGUAAAACUCUGUUGUUAGAGAAGAACAAGGACGUUAGUAACUGAACGUCCCCUGACGGUAUCUAACCAGAAAGCCACGGCUAACUACGUG
rnacentral:rRNA from 1 species